AAAACAUGUCUUUUUGAUAAAAAUUUAAAGUCAGGUCUGCUCACUGAAUUAUUUUAAAGAGCCGCAGUAUAUUGACUGUGCAAAGGUAGCAUAAUCAAUAGUUUUUUAAUUGGAAACUAGAAUGAAAGAUUAGACGAAAAAUUAAUUUUCUUUGUUUUAAUAAAUUUAAUUUUAAAUUUAAGUGAAAAUGCUUAAAUAAAAUUAAAAGACGAGAAGACCCUAUAGAUUUUUAUUAUUGAAAUAAAUUUUUAAAUUUAAUUUAAUAAAAUAAUUUAAUUGGGGCGAUUUUAUAAUAUAAAUAACUUAAUUUUUUAAAACCAUAAAUAAUUGAAUAUUUGAUCUAAAAUUUUUAAAGAAAAGAUUAAAUUACCUUAGGGAUAACAGCGUAAUUUUAUUUAAGAGUUCAUAUCUAUAAUAAAGUUUGCGACCUCGAUGUUGAAUUAAGAUAAUAUAUUGGAGUAGAAAUUAAUAUAAUUAGUCUGUUCGACUAUUAAAUUCUUAC
rnacentral:rRNA from 1 species